rnacentral:rRNA from 1 species
GACGAACGCUGGCGGCGUGCCUAAUACAUGCAAGUAGAACGCACAGUUUAUACCGUAGCUUGCUACACCAUAGACUGUGAGUUGCGAACGGGUGAGUAACGCGUAGGUAACCUGCCUGGUAGCGGGGGGUAACUAUUGGAAACGAUAGCUAAUACCGCAUAAUAUUGAUUAUUGCAUGAUAAUUGAUUGAAAGAUGCUAUUGCAUCACUACCAGAUGGACCUGCGUUGUAUUAGCUAGUAGGUGAGGUAACGGCUCACCUAGGCGACGAUACAUAGCCGACCUGAGAGGGUGAUCGGCCACACUGGGACUGAGACACGGCCCAGACUCCUACGGGAGGCAGCAGUAGGGAAUCUUCGGCAAUAGACGAAAGUCUGACCGAGCAACGCCGCGUGAGUGAAGAAGGUUUUCGGAUCGUAAAGCUCUGUUGUAAGAGAAGAACGGGUGUGAGAGUGGAAAGUUCACACUGUGACGGUAUCUUACCAGAAAGGGACGGCUAACUACGUG